rnacentral:piRNA from 1 species
UGCACACGUUUACUGGGAAAGCUUGAUUGC